GGGGAGAUGGCUCAAUGGGUAAGAGCACUGGCUGUUCUUCCAGAGGACCUGGGUUCAAUUUCCAGUACCCACA
rnacentral:tRNA from 1 species